rfam:Pasteurellaceae bacterium 15-036681 NODE_2_length_131039_cov_90.9409, whole genome shotgun sequence.
CAUAUGGUACUAGGCAAACCGUCGGUUGUGUUUAGUGGCGAUAUGGCUUCUUUUGAGGU